ensembl:lncRNA
CCGUCGGCGGCUCCCGUUCGGGGUCGGUGGUGUGGGGCCCUUCUCCAGUGUCAGGUGGUCAUUCAGAAGUGUGGCAUUUCUGUGUGGGUUAAGAAGCCCACUGUGAAGUUUGCAGCUCUUCAGGUAUGUGGGAAGAAACAGAAAGGUUCGUGUCCUUGAGAGGCUUGAAUGCUUACUUUGAGUUGAAGGUGGUCAUCCAAAGAGUGAAGCUGCCAUCUUCUUCUGGAGAGCGUGGACAAUAAAUGUGCUAAACCCUUUGUGUUGCUUGUGGUGUUGUGUCAUAGAAACAUAGAAUCCCAGGGCUGGAAGGGAUCUGCAAGAUCCUCUAUUUGACCCCGUCCUUCCAUUUCUGUUGCUACCACAGGCUGCUAACCCAUUUCUCCUAGCUCCUCAUACUGAUGCCUCUCAAACAGUGCCAGGGACAGUGACUCCAGUUGGCAGGGCAUUGCAGCUCUUGACCCAGCUUUGACAGACGGAGUUUUUCCUUCUGCAUAUUUUAAAUGCACUCUGGUAGGAUUUGUGGCAUUUCCUUGGGUCUUGUUUGUUGCUUGUGUGAAGAGGCCAAACUUCCUCCAAGCUUCCGCUCACAACAUCUGCGCAGUCUGUUGUGGAGUACGAUGAAGUUCUCUGUGG